rnacentral:rRNA from 1 species
GGAUUGCGGCAGCUACACAUGCAAGUCGAGCGGAACGAGUUAUCUGAACCUUCGGGGAACGAUAACGGCGUCGAGCGGCGGACGGGUGAGUAAUGCCUAGGAAAUUGCCUUGAUGUGGGGGAUAACCAUUGGAAACGAUGGCUAAUACCGCAUAAUGCCUACGGGCCAAAGAGGGGGACCUUCGGGCCUCUCGCGUCAAGAUAUGCCUAGGUGGGAUUAGCUAGUUGGUGAGGUAAUGGCUCACCAAGGCGACGAUCCCUAGCUGGUCUGAGAGGAUGAUCAGCCACACUGGAACUGAGACACGGUCCAGACUCCUACGGGAGGCAGCAGUGGGGAAUAUUGCACAAUGGGCGCAAGCCUGAUGCAGCCAUGCCGCGUGUAUGAAGAAGGCCUUCGGGUUGUAAAGUACUUUCAGCAGUGAGGAAGGGGGUGUCGUUAAUAGCGGCAUCUCUUGACGUUAGCUGCAGAAGAAGCACCGGCUAACUCCGUGCCAGCAGCCGCGGUAAUACGGAGGGUGCGAGCGUUAAUCGGAAUUACUGGGCGUAAAGCGCAUGCAGGUGGUUUGUUAAGUCAGAUGUGAAAGCCCGGGGCUCAACCUCGGAACUGCAUUUGAAACUGGCAAACUAGAGUACUGUAGAGGGGGGUAGAAUUUCAGGUGUAGCGGUGAAAUGCGUAGAGAUCUGAAGGAAUACCAGUGGCGAAGGCGGCCCCCUGGACAGAUACUGACACUCAGAUGCGAAAGCGUGGGGAGCAAACAGGAUUAGAUACCCUGGUAGUCCACGCCGUAAACGAUGUCUACUUGGAGGUUGUGGCCUUGAGCCGUGGCUUUCGGAGCUAACGCGUUAAGUAGACCGCCUGGGGAGUACGGUCGCAAGAUUAAAACUCAAAUGAAUUGACGGGGGCCCGCACAAGCGGUGGAGCAUGUGGUUUAAUUCGAUGCAACGCGAAGAACCUUACCUACUCUUGACAUCCAGAGAACUUUCCAGAGAUGCAUUGGGUGCCUUCGGGAACUCUGAGACAGGUG